CCUACGGGAGGCAGCAGUGAGGAAUAUUGGUCAAUGGCCGGAAGGCUGAACCAGCCAUGCCGCGUGAAGGUCAGUGCCCUAUGGGCGUUAAACUUCUUUUGUGCGGGAGCAAUAAUGGUCACGUGUGGCCAGACGAGAGUACCGUACGAAUAAGCAUCGGCUAACUCCGUGCCAGCAGCCGCGGUAAUACGGGGGAUGCAAGCGUUAUCCGGGUUUAUUGGGUUUAAAGGGUGGGUAGGCUGUGAGGUAAGUCAGGGGUGAAAUGCCCCCGCUCAACGGGGUGAAGUGCCAUUGAUACUGCCGUGCUGGAAUGCGGAUGCCGUGGGAGGAAUGUGUGGUGUAGCGGUGAAAUGCAUAGAUAUCACACAGAACACCGAUUGCGAAGGCAUCUCACGAAUCCGCGAUUGACGCUGAUGCACGAAAGCGUGGGUAUCAAACAGGAUUAGAGACCCUU
rnacentral:rRNA from 1 species